rfam:Ipomoea nil DNA, scaffold: scaffold3210, cultivar: Tokyo-kokei standard.
GACGGUUUGGCCGAGUGGUCUAAGGCGCCAGAUUUAGGCUCUGGUCCGAAAGGGCGUGGGUUAAAUCCCACAGUUGUCA